UACGGGGGGAGCAAGCGUUUGUUCGGAUUUACUGGGCGUAAAGGGCGCGUAGGCGGUCGUGACAAGUCACUUGUGAAAUCUCCGGGCUUAACUCGGAACGGUCAAGUGAUACUGUCGGACUAGAGUACAGAAGGGGCAACUGGAAUUCUCGGUGUAGCGGUGAAAUGCGUAGAUAUCGAGAGGAACACCUGCGGCGAAGGCGGGUUGCUGGGCUGAUACUGACGCUGAGGCGCGAAAGCUAGGGGAGCGAAAGGG
rnacentral:rRNA from 1 species